rnacentral:tRNA from 1 species
GGGCUUGUAGCUCAGCUGGUUAGAGCACACGCCUGAUAAGCGUGAGGUCGAUGGUUCGAGUCCAUUCAAGCCCACCA